rnacentral:rRNA from 1 species
UACAGGGGGGGCAAGCGUUGUUCGGAAUUACUGGGCGUAAAGGGCUCGUAGGUGGCCAACUAAGUCAGACGUGAAAUCCCUCAGCUUAACUGGGGAACUGCGUCUGAUACUGGAUGGCUUGAGUUUGGGAGAGGGAUGCGGAAUUCCAGGUGUAGCGGUGAAAUGCGUAGAUAUUGGGAGGAACACCAGUGGCGAAGGCGGCUCACUGGACCGGAACUGACGCUGAUGCGCGAAAGCGUGGGGAGCAAACGGG